rnacentral:rRNA from 1 species
AUUGAACGCUGGCGGCAGGCCUAACACAUGCAAGUCGAACGGAGUGGCGGACGGGUGAGUAAUGUCUGGGAAACUGCCCGAUGGAGGGGGAUAACUACUGGAAACGGUAGCUAAUACCGCGUACUAUCAGAUGAGCCUAGGUCGGAUUAGCUAGUUGGUGGGGUAAAGGCCUACCAAGGCGACGAUCCGUAACUGGUCUGAGAGGAUGAUCAGUAACACUGGAACUUGGACACGGUCCAGACUCCUACGGGAGGCAGCAGUGGGGAAUAUUGGACAAUGGGCGAAAGCCUGAUCCAGCCAUGCCGCGUGUGUGAAGAAGGUCUUCGGAUUGUAAAGCACUUUAAGUUGGGAGGCGUUACCAACAGAAUAAGCACCGGCUAACUUCGUGCCAGCAGCCGCGGUAAUAC